UAUGGCCCCCCCUGACCUCAGCCCCACUUUGCCCCCAGCUCUGAGAACGCGGUGCUGGAGGCCGGGAAAGUCAUCGCAGAUAAGAAGUUCCUCAUCCGCAGGAUCCACUCACUGCCUCCACGGCUCCUGGGGAGCAGCCCGGCCCUGCGGGACGUCUCCAACUGCAGCACCUUCGGCAGCCCACGGGGUGGGGGGCAGCGCCGUGAUGAUGAGGGGUGUGUGUUUAAGAAGCCGCAGAGGCCGGGGCAUCGCAGCCGGGUGCUGGCGAUGGAGGGGGCCCUGGGGAAGGAGCCCUUUGUGCAGAGGCCCAGCUCUGCACCCGACCUGCUGUUUGAUACCCCCGAGAAGGAAAACCUCCCCGAGGGUGAGAGCCCCGUGGUGCUGCGCCGCUGCUCCCUCACCUCCUCCAUGGGCGAUGAGGAGGAGGACGACGGCUUCAUGGAGAUCCUGGAUGAGGAAGAGAUGAAGGUAAGGAGGAGAGGAAGUGCCUGGGGGGCACCCAGAGCCCCUGCAUCAUGGCUGCAGCACCACGGGGUCCCUCUGCUCCCCCCCCAUUCUGGGCUGCCCCUUCCCCUUCCCCAUCCCCUCCCCCCCCCUUUGUCCCGGGGGGGGGUG
rnacentral:lncRNA from 1 species